rnacentral:misc_RNA from 1 species
GCGCGAUAUUGCUACUCAGAAUGUCAUUUGGAGACAUGGAUUGAACCAUUAUUGAAGAGUGACGCAGUGAAUAAUCAGAAUAAAAUGGUGGAGAUGAUGAAUGUGGCUCUUCAAUGUACUGCUAGUGAGCCAGCAGCAAGGCCUUGUGCUAGUGAUGUUGCAAAGACAUUGGACUCUUUUGUUAGAUCAAAUUCUUGUGGUUUAGGGUUGAAAAGGUGUGGUAG